GACGAACGCUGGCGGCGUGCUUAACACAUGCAAGUCGAACGAUGAAGCGGGUGCUUGCCCUCGUGGAUUAGUGGCGAACGGGCGAGUAACACGUGAGUAACCUGUCCUUUUCUUUGGGAUAACGGCUGGAAACGGCUGCUAAUACUGGAUAUUCAGGCUGCAUCGCAUGGUGUGGUUUGGAAAGGUUUUUUCUGGGCUUGGGUGGGCUCGCGGCCUAUCGGCUUGUUGGUGGGGUGAUGGCUUACCAAGGCUUUGACGGGUAGCCGGCCUGAGAGGGUGGUCGGUCGCACUGGGACUGAGAUACGGCCCAGACUCCUACGGGAGGCAGAAGUGGGGAAUAUUGCACAAUGGACGAAAGUUUGAUGCAGCGACGCCGCGUGGAGGGUGUAGGCCUUCGGGUUGUGAACUCCUUUUUCUCGCGAAAAAGGCACAGUUUUGGCUGUGUUGAUGGUAGUGGGGGAAGAAGCGCCGGCUAACUACGUG
rnacentral:rRNA from 1 species